UACGUAGGGGGCGAGCGUUGUCCGAAGUUACUGGGCGUAAAGCGCGCGUAGGCGGGCUUUUAAGUCGGAUGUGAAAUCUCCACGGCUCAACCGGGAAACCGCAUCCGAAACUGGAAGCCUUGAGGUAUGGAGAGGGAAGUGGAAUUCCUGGUGUAGCGGUGAAAUGCGUAGAUAUCAGGAGGAACACCCGUUGCGAAGGCGGCUUCCUGGCCAUAUCCUGACGCUGAGGUGCGAAAGCCAGGGGAGCGAACGGG
rnacentral:rRNA from 1 species